rnacentral:rRNA from 1 species
GCGACGCCGCGUGAGUGAAGAAGGUCUUCGGAUCGUAAAACUCUGUCCUUGGUGAAGAAAAAAAUGACGGUAGCCAAGGAGGAAGCCCCGGCUAACUACGUGCCAGCAGCCGCGGUAAUACGUAGGGGGCGAGCGUUGUCCGGAUUUACUGGGCGUAAAGGGUGAGUAGGCGGUUAUAUAAGUCAGAUGUAAAAGGCGUAGGCUCAACUUACGUAAGCAUUUGAAACUGUAUGACUUGAGUGCAGGAGAGGUAAGUGGAAUUCCUAGUGUAGCGGUGAAAUGCGUAGAUAUUAGGAGGAACACCAGUGGCGAAGGCGACUUACUGGACUGUAACUGACGCUGAGUCACGAAAGCGUGGGUAGCAAACAGGAUUAGAUACCCUGGUAGUCCACGCUGUAAACGAUGAGUGCUAGGUGUUGGGUAGCGAUAUUCAGUGCCGAAGUUAACACAAUAAGCACUCCGCCUGGGGAGUACGGUCGCAAGACUGAAACUCA